GUGAAGAUGAACGGAAAGGCUGGAGCAACGAACCGCCCUUGCUGUCUCUGCCUGGCCGGAUCCCCUCUCUCCAUUGGGAUUCUCUGCCUUUAACCCUAUUACAGGGGCUGAGUCUUUUACUGAGCACUUUUACUUUCUUCUCCAACACUUUGUUUUUGCAUUAUUUAAACCAAAUUGAACAUGUUUCAUUAUUUAUUUGAGGCUAAAUUGAUUUUAUUGAUGUAUUAUAUUAAGUUAAAAUAAGUGUUCAUUCAGUAUUGUUGUAAUUGUCAUUAUUACAAAUACAUAAAAAUAAAAAAAAACGGCGGAAUAAUCGGUAUCGGCUGAGGCAGUCCCAGCAGUUGUCCUAUAUACGGCUAAACGAAAAUCUACAGAACAUGAAUUGGUUCCUGCAUGUGACUGGCUGCAUGUGACUGGCUGUUAUCCCGCAGACUCAGUUUCCCAAUGUCUCCUAUCUUAACAUUCAGAACAUAUUCUGGGUGUUUUGCCAAUUGGUCUGAGGGUCACAGUCACCUGCAUGAACUAAAACCGAGUGAGAGAAGAGCGAGCACUCUCUUCAGAAAUAAAAUUCCAGCACAAUAUCCUAUACAUUACCAUUCUACUUAUUUUUGGGAGGGAGAUGCAACAACAGCCUUGAGAACAUCUGGACUCAAAUAGAACUCUGUUCCAAGUUGCUGUCAGGUUUUAGUGCAGCUGAUGGGACAUACAGAAGAAUGCAGCUAUAGGAAUUGUAGUUGUGGUUCUCAUCUUCUGUCUCUCUGGCUUCAUGUGGUUCAGGUGAGCAUCUUUCUAAGACGUAUCUUUUACUUUAUCAUUUUGAGUUAUUAACGUGAUUGUUGUUCAAUGAUUGAGUCAUUCAUUCACUUGUGUAAAAAAAACCCAUUAAAGUCAGCAGGGAAUGGACAGGUGAGUUGAGGUGAAAAAGUAUUUGUUUUCUUUCAGAUCUUUUAACAGUGCUCGAUUAAUCUUGCCUGGCACAAUCGAACCAAUGGAAUAUUCCCACGGUAUGCUUAUAUUGUCUGUCUUUUCUCCUCUCCAGGGAGACUCAGUCCAGUUUAUGACAACGUCUCAGGCAUGGCGAGCAGGGUGAUGCUGACUACGCCAAUGCCCACCUCUCUUGCUCCAAUAACCAGGAAGUGCCUCUGUACUCCACUGUCCAACCUCCUCAACCCCAGAAAGAGGAUGAGGAUGUCCAGUAUGAUGCUGUGAAAUUUAACUGCCCCAGUCCUGCGAACCGGUGAGCCAGUCCAGUCAUUACAACAUCUCACAUAGUGUUUUUAUUAGAUGGUGCUUGACACU
rnacentral:lncRNA from 8 species